rnacentral:rRNA from 1 species
CCAGACUCCUACGGGAGGCAGCAGUGGGGGAUAUUGCACAAUGGGGGGAACCCUGAUGCAGCGACGCCGCGUGGGUGAAGAAGCGCCUCGGCGCGUAAAGCCCUGUCAGCAGGGAAGAAAAUGACGGUACCUGAAGAAGAAGCCCCGGCUAACUACGUGCCAGCAGCCGCGGUAAUACGUAGGGGGCAAGCGUUAUCCGGAUUCACUGGGCGUAAAGGGCGCGUAGGCGGUAAUAUAAGUCAGAUGUGAAAGGUGGGGGCUCAACCCCUAGAGUGCAACUGAUACUGUAUAACUUGAGUGUGAGAGAGGGAAGCGGAAUUCCUAGUGUGGCAGUGAAAUGCGUAGAUAUUAGGAGGAACACCAGUGGCGAAGGCGGCUUUCUGGCUCAUAACUGACGCUGAGGCGCGAAAGCGUGGGGAGCAAACAGGAUUAGAUACCCCGGUA